rnacentral:rRNA from 1 species
CGGAACGGGUGAGUAACGCGUGAGGAACCUGCCUCAAAGAGGGGGACAACAGUUGGAAACGACUGCUAAUACCGCAUAAGCCCACGGCUCGGCAUCGAGCAGAGGGAAAAGGAGUGAUCCGCUUUGAGAUGGCCUCGCGUCCGAUUAGCUAGUUGGUGAGGUAACGGCCCACCAAGGCAACGAUCGGUAGCCGGACUGAGAGGUUGAACGGCCACAUUGGAACUGAGACACGGUCCAA